UCAGGCUGAUCAGCUGCACUUGGGCAAACCUCCACUGCCCUUCAGGCUCAAGCUGUGAAAUUCACUAAAUUGUGUUCAAGUCUGCUCUGUUUCUUCCAUCCCUGCGAGCACAUAGACAAGUGGGGAUCACUACCUCGCCUGCUGCACACUAAAGACUUUCCUGCUCAGGCGUGGGUCAUCAAACAGGAGAUCCAGAAAGGAGGAGGUGGGGGAGGUUUUUGGUUUACCAAUUCCAGACCAGCUGUUAUCCCACUGAUUAGCUCUCCAGUGCCUUGAUGCAUCCCUCUAAGCAAUUCCUGACACACCGGCAGCUGCUAAAGAGCAUUCUCAUUGCUAAAUGAUCGUGGAUGCACAAUGCAUAGACAUAGAAUGAAAAUGGAAUAAUGUGUUCUCAUUCUCUUCUGGCAAGUGUUUGAAG